rnacentral:rRNA from 1 species
GACGAACGCUGGCGGCGUGCUUAACACAUGCAAGUCGAACGGAAAGGCCCUGCUUUUGUGGGGUGCUCGAGUGGCGAACGGGUGAGUAACACGUGAGUAACCUGCCCUUGACUUUGGGAUAACUUCAGGAAACUGGGGCUAAUACCGGAUAGGAGCUCCUGCUGCAUGGGGGGGGUUGGAAAGUUUCGGCGGUUGGGGAUGGACUCGCGGCUUAUCAGCUUGUUUGUGGGGUAGUGGCUUACCAAGGCUUUGACGGGUAGCCGGCCUGAGAGGGUGACCGGCCACAUUGGGCCUGAGGUACGGCCCAGACUCCUACGGGAGGCAGCAGUGGGGAAUAUUGCACAAUGGGCGGAAGCCUGAUGCAGCAACGCCGCGUGCGGGAUGACGGCCUUCGGGUUGUAAACCGCUUUCGCCUGUGACGAAGCGUGAGUGACGGUAAUGGGUAAAGAAGCACCGGCUAACUACGUG